rnacentral:rRNA from 1 species
CAUGUAGGCGGAGGUUCCAGGUAAAUCCGGUACCUUAUUAACGCUGAGGUGUGAUGACGAGGCACUACGGUGCUGAAGUAACAAAUGCCCUGCUUCCAGGAAAAGCCUCUAAGCAUCAGGUAACAUUGAAUCGUACCCCAAACCGACACAGGUGGUCAGGUAGAGAAUACCAAGGCGCUUGAGAGAACUCGGGUGAAGGAACUAGGCAAAAUGGUGCCGUAACUUCGGGAGAAGGCACGCUGAUAUGUAGGUGAA